rnacentral:lncRNA from 1 species
AUCGGGCUUCCGAACGUCCUCCCCCACUCUUCUUCUCUCAUUCGACGAGCUACGCGACGCAACGCGAGGAGCGGCGGACGUCCUACUCGGCAGUUUACUAUCGGGCGUCUAACGAGGAUCAUCUCCUCGACGAAAGAAUAUAACAGAUAUUUAUUUUUCGUUGACUACGAAGAGAAUUACGACGAGGAA